UACGUAGGGACCGAGCGUUGUCCGGAAUCAUUGGGCGUAAAGAGCGUGUAGGCGGCCACUUAAGUCCUGCGUGAAAUCUUGCGGCUCAACCGCAAGCGGUCGUGGGAAACUGGGUGGCUAGAGUGCGGGAGAGGAGAGUGGAAUUCCUGGUGUAGCGGUGGAAUGCGUAGAUAUCAGAAGGAACAUCAGUGGCGAAAGCGGCUUCCUGGACCAGAACUGACGAUCAGGCACGAAAGCGUGGGGAGCAAACAGG
rnacentral:rRNA from 1 species